GUAGAGCGGAGGACUGUAGUGGA
rnacentral:piRNA from 1 species